GGCUCACCUAGGCGACGAUCCCUAGCUGGUCUGAGAGGAUGACCAGCCACACUGGAACUGAGACACGGUCCAGACUCCUACGGGAGGCAGCAGUGGGGAAUAUUGCACAAUGGGCGCAAGCCUGAUGCAGCCAUGCCGCGUGUGUGAAGAAGGCCUUCGGGUUGUAAAGCACUUUCAGCGGGGAGGAAGGCGGUGAGGUUAAUAACCUCACCGAUUGACGUUACCCGCAGAAGAAGCACCGGCUAACUCCGUGCCAGCAGCCGCGGUAAUACGGAGGGUGCAAGCGUUAAUCGGAAUUACUGGGCGUAAAGCGCACGCAGGCGGUCUGUCAAGUCGGAUGUGAAAUCCCCGGGCUCAACCUGGGAACUGCAUUCGAAACUGGCAGGCUAGAGUCUUGUAGAGGGGGGUAGAAUUCCAGGUGUAGCGGUGAAAUGCGUAGAGAUCUGGAGGAAUACCGGUGGCGAAGGCGGCCCCCUGGACAAAGACUGACGCUCAGGUGCGAAAGCGUGGGGAGCAAACAGGAUUAGAUACCCUGGUAGUCCACGCUGUAAACGAUGUCGAUUUGGAGGUUGUGCCCUUGAGGCGUGGCUUCCGGAGCUAACGCGUUAAAUCGACCGCCUGGGGAGUACGGCCGCAAGGUUAAAACUCAAAUGAAUUGACGGGGGCCCGCACAAGCGGUGGAGCAUGUGGUUUAAUUCGAUGCAACGCGAAGAACCUUACCUGGUCUUGACAUCCACAGAACUUUCCAGAGAUGGAUUGGUGCCUUCGGGAACUGUGAGACAGGUGCUGCAUGGCUGUCGUCAGCUCGUGUUGUGAAAUGUUGGGUUAAGUCCCGCAACGAGCGCAACCCUUAUCCUUUGUUGCCAGCGGUUAGGCCGGGAACUCAAAGGAGACUGCCAGUGAUAAACUGGAGGAAGGUGGGGAUGACGUCAAGUCAUCAUGGCCCUUACGACCAGGGCUACACACGUGCUACAAUGGCAUAUACAAAGAGAAGCGACCUCGCGAGAGCAAGCGGACCUCAUAAAGUAUGUCGUAGUCCGGAUUGGAGUCUGCAACUCGACUCCAUGAAGUCGGAAUCGCUAGUAAUCGUAGAUCAGAAUGCUACGGUGAAUACGUUCCCGGGCCUUGUACACACCGCCCGUCACACCAUGGGAGUGGGUUGCAAAAGAAGUAGGUAGCUUAACCUUCGGGAGGGCGCUUACCACUUUGUGAUUCAUGACUGGGGUGAAGUCGUAACAAGGUAACCGUAGGGGAACCUGCGGUUGGAUCACCUCCUUA
rnacentral:rRNA from 1 species